UACAGAGGGGGCAAGCGUUGUUCGGAAUUACUGGGCGUAAAGGGUUUGUAGGUGGCUUGUUAAGUCAGACGUGAAAUCCCUCAGCUUAACUGGGGAACUGCGUCUGAUACUGGCGAGCUUGAGUGCAGGAGAGGAACGCGGAAUUCCAGGUGUAGCGGUGAAAUGCGUAGAUAUCUGGAGGAACACCGGUGGCGAAGGCGGCGUUCUGGACUGCAACUGACACUGAGAAACGAAAGCCAGGGUAGCAAACGGG
rnacentral:rRNA from 1 species